ensembl:ncRNA lncRNA:CR46211 long non-coding RNA:CR46211
AACAAAUUUUGUAAUGCUGUUCAGUAUGAAAAUCAUUGCCGUUCGGAAAGCAACUAAGUAAAUUAUCGUAAAAUAAAAUUUUAUUUUCGAUGGCCCAGUUUAUUAGUGAAUUGUGUGUAAUCAAAAGCUGAUGUCCCCAAUUAGAUGUUACCCCUCAGGAUAAACUUGAAAUCCCAAUUGGCAUGACUGGAGUUUUGAUGGCCUCAAAUCAUGGCGUCCAUGCUUUUAUAAUUAUAUUAUAUAUAAUAGCACUGCUGGCUCAUUGGUACAUUUCAUAAGUACCUUAUCAAAUGUUCCAAUGGUCGGGCAGAGCUAUUAUUUGUCCAUGUUUUGGACUAGAAGUAAUACUAAGAAGACAAAAUCUGCCAGUUACCAUUCUCACUAUGUAACAAUUGGAACAAAAAUGUUAAAUGUUAAACAAGAAUGUUAAACAAGCCGAUUACUU